rnacentral:lncRNA from 1 species
AUAUAUAUAUAUAUGGAAAAACUUCAAAAAACCUCCAAGUGGUUUCGUAGUUUCUCACUUUAGUACCCUGUGGUUUAAAGUGUAUCAAUUUGCCCCCUGUGGUUUCGUUUUUAUUUUUUCGGAAGCUUUUUCGUUAAUAUUUCAUUAAAUUAUAUACAAAAAACUUCAUAUACCCAUCUAAAUUUAUCAAAUAUUUAUUUUAGUAUCCUUUAAUUUUAACUUUAUCACUGAUUUAAGAAAAAAAAAUAAUAAAAUUGAUAAGAAAAAGAAAAAAAAGAAACCACAGGGAGACAAAUUGAUAUAUUUUAAAUCACAGGGAGGCAAAGUGAGAAUCUACGAAACCACAAGGGGGUUUUUGAAAUUUUUCCUAUAUCAUAUAUAUAU